rnacentral:rRNA from 1 species
GCGCACGCUGGCGGCAGGCCUAACACAUGCAAGUCGAACGAACUCUUCGGAGUUAGUGGCGGACGGGUGAGUAACACGUGGGAACGUGCCUUUUGGUUCGGAAUAACUCAGGGAAACUUGUGCUAAUACCGAAUGUGCCCUUCGGGGGAAAGAUUUAUCGCCAUUAGAGCGGCCCGCGUCUGAUUAGCUAGUUGGUGAGGUAACGGCUCACCAAGGCGACGAUCGGUAGCUGGUCUGAGAGGAUGACCAGCCACACUGGGACUGAGACACGGCCCAGACUCCUACGGGAGGCAGCAGUGGGGAAUCUUGCGCAAUGGGCGAAAGCCUGACGCAGCCAUGCCGCGUGAAUGAUGAAGGUCUUAGGAUUGUAAAAUUCUUUCACCGGGGACGAUAAUGACGGUACCCGGAGAAGAAGCCCCGGCUAACUUCGUG